GUGCCAGCAGCCGCGGUAAUACGGAGGAUCCAAGCGUUAUCCGGAAUUACUGGGCGUAAAGAGUUGCGUAGGUGGCAUAGUAAGCAAACAGUGAAAGCGUACGGCUCAACCGUAUAUACAUUGUUUGAACUGCUAAGCUAGAGGACGAGAGAGGUAGAUGGAAUUCCUAAUGUAGGGGUAAUAUCCGUAGAUAUUAAGAGGAACACCGAUGGCGUAAGCAGUCUACUGGCUCGUUUCUGACACUCAGGCACGAAAGCGUGGGGAGCAAACGGGAUUAGAUACCCCGGUAGUCC
rnacentral:rRNA from 1 species